UACGUAGGGUGCAAGCGUUGUCCGGAAUUAUUGGGCGUAAAGCGCGCGUAGGCGGCUUUGUAGGUCGAUUGUGAAAGCCCAGGGCUCAACCUUGGAAUCGCAGUUGAAACCGCAUAGCUUGAAUGUUGGAGAGGGUGGGGGAAUACCUAGUGGAGAAGUGAAAUUCGUAGAGAUUAGGUGGAACACCAGAGGCGAAGGCGCCUGCCUGGCCAAACAUUGACGCUAAGGCGCGAAAGCGCGGGGAGCAAACAGG
rnacentral:rRNA from 1 species